GUUCGGGUAGCAUAACUGGAUAAUGCACGUGCCUUCUAAGCACGUGAGUGUGGGUUCGAGCCCCGCCCCGAACGCCA
rnacentral:tRNA from 1 species